rnacentral:snRNA from 1 species
GAGUAGCAGAGUGAAAGUCUGUCUCCUCAUUGAUCACUGGAGUGCACUUGACUGAUCUGGCUGGUUAGGUGAAUUUUUCAUCUCUCCUCACAACAUCUUUCCGCAAACAUCACAAAGCUGCACACUGAGAAGAGGAGCUCUGCGUCCAGAACAGUAACGUCUCCUCCUAGAUCCUCCAAACAAGAUUAAAGUUCGUCAAACGCAGAGCAGCCAAGCCUCCAAGUCUUGAGACACGUCCAAAUGAAGGUCUAUAUACUGCAAUUUGCCUUUCAUU